rnacentral:rRNA from 1 species
AACCUCCGCAAUGUGAGAAAUCGCGACGGGGGGAUCCCAAGUGCCAUUCUUAACGGGAUGGCUUUUCAUUAGUGUAAAGAGCUUUUGGAAUAAGAGCUGGGCAAGACCGGUGCCAGCCGCCGCGGUAACACCGGCAGCUCUAGUGGUAACAAUUUUUAUUGGGCCUAAAGCGUCCGUAGCCGGUUUAAUAAGUCUCUGGUGAAAUCCUGUAGCUUAACUGUGGGAAUUGCUGGAGAUACUAUUAGACUUGAGACCGGGAGAGGUUAGAGGUACUCCCAGGGUAGAGGUGAAAUUCUGUAAUCCUGGGAGGACCGCCUGUUGCGAAGGCGUCUAACUGGAACGGUUCUGACGGUGAGGGACGAAAGUUAGGGGCGCGAACCGGAUUAGAUACCUGGGUAGUCCUAACUGUAAACGAUGCGGACUUGGUGUUGGGGUGGCUUUGAGCUGCUCCAGUGCCGAAGGGAAGCUGUUAAGUCCGCCGCCUGGGAAGUACGGUCGCAAGACUGAAACUUAAAGGAAUU